rnacentral:rRNA from 1 species
UGCCAGGGAUAACCUGGAGGAAGGUGGGGAUGACGUCAAAUCAUCAUGCCCCUUAUGUUUAGGGCUACACACGUGCUACAAUGGGUGCUACAAAGGGAAGCAAAACCGCGAGGUCAAGCAAAUCCCAAAAAGGCACUCCCAGUUCGGAUUGUAGUCUGCAACUCGACUACAUGAAGUUGGAAUCGCUAGUAAUCGCGAAUCAGAAUGUCGCGGUGAAUACGUUCCCGGGUCUUGUACACACCGCCCGUCACACCACGGGAGUUGGGGGGGCCCAACGCCAGUGACCUAACCCUUCGGGGAGGGAGCUGUCUAAGGCAAAACCAAUGACUGGGGUGAAGUCGUAACAAGGUAGCCGUAUCGGAAGGUGCGGCUG